rnacentral:tRNA from 12 species
GGCCUUAGCUCAGCUGGGAGAGCGCCUGAUUUGCAUUCAGGAGUUCAGGAGUUCGAU